rnacentral:rRNA from 1 species
ACUGACAGCCAUGGUUACCGCGGCUGCUGGCACGGAGUUAGCCGGUGCUUCUUCUGUGAGUGAUGUCCUUCCUGCCGGUUAUUGACCCGCAGGCCUUCUUCCUCACUGAAAGUGCUUUACAACCCGAAGGCCUUCUUCACACACGCGGCAUGGCUGGAUCAGGGUUGCCCCCAUUGUCCAAUAUUCCCCACUGCUGCCUCCCGUAGGAGUCUGGGCCGUGUCUCAGUCCCAGUGUGGCUGAUCAUCCUCUCAGACCAGCUACGGAUCGUCGCCUUGGUGAGCCGUUACCUCACCAACCAGCUAAUCCGACAUAGGCUCAUCCGAUAGCGCGAGGCCCGAAGGUCCCCCGCUUUCCCCCGUAGGGCGUAUGCGGUAUUAGCCUGGGUUUCCCCCAGGUUAUCCCCCGACUACCGGGCAGAUUCCUAUGCAUUACUCACCCGUCCGCCGCUCGCCACCAGGGAGCAAGCUCCCCGUGCUGCCGCUCGACUUGCAUGUGUUAGGCCUGCCGCCAGCGUUCAAU